rnacentral:rRNA from 1 species
CCAUGGGAGUGGGUUGCAAAAGAAGUAGGUAGCUUAACCUUCGGGAGGGCGCUUACCACUUUGUGAUUCAUGACUGGGGUGAAGUCGUAACAAGGUAACCGUAGGGGAACCUGCGGUUGGAUCACC